rnacentral:lncRNA from 1 species
UAUUAAGUCAAAAUUAUCUAAAAAGUAUCAUUAAGUUAUAAAAACAAAUACCUCUAAUUAACUUAAUUAAUUAAGUUAAGUCACUUUAAGUUAUUAAAUUAAAAAACAAACGAUACCUAAAGCCGAAACAUUUUAUUAUUUAAUUAAGACUAUUCAUUUAUCAAAUAUUUAUUUAUUGAAAUUUUAUUGUAAAAUUUAAAAUUUUGCAAUACAUUUGCUCUCUUGUCAUUUCUAUACAUUGGUGAAAAAAUGGUAAUUUGUCCUCUAAUUAAUAACAUUUUUUUUUUUGGAACAAACAACAUUUUCUCGUUUGAAGUAGGGGGUGGGCACCACCAAAUUGACCAACCUGUGAAACCCACGUAACCCAUUAAUUAAUAACAUUUCUCCAUAAUCACAAAUUAAUUAAUAACCCAUUAAUUAAGACAACCACGCACUGCCAAAACUCACGUCGCCCGACCACCCAAUACCAGAAGAUCCGUACUUGACAAUUUCAUCAAUUUCGCAGGAUAGAUCCGUGGCCCCACCACCUCGUGUUCACAAUCGUAGCCAUUUCUCGCGGGUUUUAACUUGGUCCGUAUGUAUUUAAGGGUAAUUUUUAGAGACCUCCCCUGAGGUUUAGUGUAUUAACACAUAGAUAGAAAGUAUGACCGUAAUUACAGAUACUUCCCCUGCCGUUUAUACUCAGUUUCGUAUAUAGUCAGUAUAUGGGGGUAAAUUAGUAAAAACGCAUUUAAAAUUAAAAUAGAUAAAAAGUUGCUUUGGAGAUGUGCCCACCGAAACACUCAAAACCAUUUUCUCUUUCAUCAGCCGAAGCGCACACAUAUCCAUCCACCUGUAAAUGUUUUGAAGAUGGAAAAAUAAAUCAAAUUUUAGUCACCAAACCCCGCAACUUUAGCUUAGAUUUGUUAUCAAGAAAGCGUCGGUGGUGGCUUAAGGGUGACAUCAUGUGAAAAUCAAUGGCGCUCGGUGUCAGACGUGACUGCAUUAAACUGAAGUAAAAAAGGUUAGUCUUUGAAAAAAUUGCGGAUUUUAAUUUUUUUAAUGCAUUCUAUUUUAAAUAAAUUAGAAUUUUAUUUUAUUUUAAUCAUAGAUUGGGGUUUUUUUUUUUGGUUUGAAAAUGAAAAUGGGCUUGUGAAGUGCUGAAGAAACUGCUGGCAUUGUGUUGUUCAAUAAAAAAUUAUAUCAGUUUGUUGAUGUGUUGAAGAAGAUGCAUGUUGUUUGUUACUUUUAGUUUUUUACUGUCUAAUUCGUCAAGUUACGAGCUAAUCAAAACAUAUGAUGUUAGAAAUUAGUGAUUUUUAUGUGGGUUCUUUGUCAAAUAAAAAUGGGUUAGCACCGUUAUGAAUUAUAUGGAUGAUGUUUAGAAGAUUUGACUUCUUAACAUGUGCUUCGAACUAAAUAUACCUAUGCAGGUUAGAAAUUAGUGAAGUUGUAUGUAUUAAUAAUAUUGGAAAAUAUGGGUUUGUUUGUGAUGUUUUGAAGAGGUUGAAAAGGAUAUUGCGUGUGCUCCCUAAUAUGGAGAUUUUUUCGUCACUUGAUAAAAAAAAAAAAGCAUUAGUGAUAAAGACAAUGAAGAAAUAUAAUUUUUUUAACCAUGAAUGUGUAAAAAUAUAAUUUUUUUUAAUAUUUUUUCUACAGAUCAUAUGUGAAUUGAAUUAAUUUUAAAAACUUUGAUCAAGGCCAAAAAGCUUUCGGCCAUUGCUGCAUGUGAAGCUAGUAAGAGGGAAUUUUAUAAGCCCACCUGAAAGAAGAUUGAGGUUACCUGACUCUUCUUGUUUCUAGAUUUUUUUUUUCUUUACUCUACUUCCCAUUUCAUCUUCAGCACAUUCAGUAAAUUUGACAGGAAUAAUUGGAAAGAAAGAAGGAAGGAUAUGCUGAAAAAUUGGAAAAUAAGGCAGUUGUACUUCACAAAGAAGUAGAAGAAAAAAGAGCAAAGAUCGAAGUUAGUGAUGGAGAAUAAAUUCUUAUUCCAAAGGAGAUGGUUGAAAAAUAUCAUGCAAUUAGGAGCAUUUUAAAGAUCAAUGGAACUAAACAAAUGUCAAAGUUAUUGUGUAUUAGAAAUACCAAAGUUGAUUUUGAACUGUUGUAUUAUGUUAAAUUUUUUUAAAUUUUAUUUUACUAUAUAGUCUAUCUAGCCAAGUUUCCUAGCGGUGGUUUUGUUUUCCCCAGUUGAUGAUACUUGGUGUCGAAUUUUUAUUUCCUAGGGUGUUGUAAUGAUUAGCUUAAUAAUUAAUAUUUGGCACCAAAGGCAUUUUAGUCUUUUUCCAGAGGCAAGGGUAAUUUCGACCUAUCACUGGUCAACUAACAGUCAAGGAAAAUGAGUACAGACGGCAGGGAGGUUUCUGUAAUUACAAUCAUACUUUCUAUUCAAGUGUUAAUACAUCAAACCUCAAGGGAGGUCCCUAAAAAUUACCCAUGUAUUUAAUAGUUUUGAUUUAUUAGACCGCACGAUCUUUGGCAUUAAAGGGUACACACAACCCGCAUCAGGACAUAAUUACAAAAACUCUAUGUUAUUUUUGAAAAUUUUAAAUUAGAAUAAAUUAAUUAAAUCUCUCUUUUUUUUUUUUUUUUCAACUUAAGGUAUAUUGAUGAUUGAAUUUGAUCACUAAAAUUAUUUUAAUAUAAAAGUAAGGUUAGUUGAACUCACUGAAAUACUUAAUAUACUCAUUUUUUAACAAAAAAAUUUAUUACUAAAUUACCCAUCGUGGUAAUUUAUUGUUAAGUACAACACAGUAGAGUUAAAUAAAAUAUUUUUAUCUUGCAUCCAUUUCAUACAUAUAACUAUCAUAAUACAUAUUUUCCAUCCAACAUUAAUUAUCGACACUUUUUUUCCACAAAAAUUAUGGAAUUUUAAUAAUACUUUGGACCUGUUUGAAAUUGCUUAUGGGAGGCUUAAAAAUGAUUUUGAAAAUUUAAAAGUUAAUUUUAGUGUUUAGUAAAAAAAAAAUUAAAAUUACUUUUGUCAAAAUCAACUCCUCCUACAAUUGAUUUUGAAAAGUCAGGAAGGGGUAUUUUUUUUUUUUUAAAGAAACAAAAGUUUAUUAAACGACCAGGAACUUAAUCAACCAGGUAGGUGGAAUGUGACUAGGAAGGAGUAGCUUUUAGAUUCUGAUUUUGAUAAUCAAUUUUAUCCUUUAAUACAAUUCCAUAAAUAUCCUUAAAAUUAUUACCUAAACCCAAAAUUAUCUUUAUUCAAAUUGGAAACAAAAUCAAUAUUUUAAUAAAUUUAUAUUAUAAUUCAUAUUAUAAUUCAUCAAUAUGAAUUUAUUAACAUCAAUUGUUGGUCGAAUUAUUAUUUAAUUUGUUUCACUAUAUUAUAACUUUAAUUAUCAAAUGUUUUAAGAUAAAAAAUAAAAUCAGUAUAUUAUAAAUUUUAUUUUUAGUAGAAAAUUUUAUAAUACACAAUUAAAAAUAUUAUAUGUACAUGUUUUUAUGUGCAUAAGUAAAUUUUAUCUUACGUUAUAUACAUUUUAGUCAUUUGUUUUCUUUUAGCUGUUUAACAGUAAAAUUUAUCAAAUAUUCAUAACUGCUUUCAAAACUCACAGUAAUUCUGAAAAUAAAAUUUACCAAACACUUAACUGAUUCUCUUCACAGCUGAUUAUUUUUAUAGCACAGCUAACAAUAAUUAUUUUAAAAGUUACAGCAUUCCCAAUCUGGCCCUUUAUCCUUUUUUCCACCAAAAUUUACCUACAAAAAUAAAUCCAAGACAAUCACAAUCAAGGCUACAUCCGAACUUGACUAAUCAACUUCUACAUACAAUGAAUUUCUUUUUUCCUGUAAUUUGAAUGGCGAAAAUUAAAACUUUGAGGAAGAAAGUUUUGCAUACACAAGUUUAUGAGAAAGAGAAACGUUGACGAGAGAAAGCUUUGUUCCUAAUAUUUCUUCAACUUCUAUAAUUGAAUGAAAUUUUUUUGUUUGAAGCCAUUUUUAUUUGCGCAUUUGAAUCAAUUUUUGUUUGUCAGCUAAAAUAAUAAUUACAGAAAUCAAGUAAGUCGAUUCAACAUAUCAUAAAUAACAUUUUUAUUUCAUGUUCUUGGUUAAUGGGUUCGUAAAUAAUUGUAAUGAGUUUAUUUAAAAAUUAUUAUUAAUAUAGGAAAUUUGUUUUAGAAGUUAGUUUUGGUAUUCAGGUGGGUCACGAGUGUGUAGAGUAUAAAUUUAAUUUUUAAAUUUUAAUAGUGGGUACAAUAAGUAAAUGAGUUUCAAGAAUAUUGUAGUAAGUUCAAAUGACCCACCUUUUAAUAUAAAAUUUAAUUAAUUAUUUUACUAUUAUAGCAUAAAAUGAUCAAAUUAUCUAAAGAAAACUUGUACUAUUUGUAUUUAAUAUAUGACUUACGUAAAUUUAAUAUUUUUAAAUAAAACCCAUUAGGCUUGAGUUGAUAGAUUACGUUGUCGUUGGCAACUGAACUCAUUAAAUUCAGAGUGUUAAACGCGACAAUUAUUUUUAUCGUGGAACUCUGUACUAUUGUAAAAACAUCUGUCAGCGUCUCUAAACUCUAAUGUGUGAUCGACCUUAUCCAAUUAUUUCUCAUCUUAAACAUGCUGUUCGUAUUUUGACAUUUCAACUACCAGCAUGAAACACGAGGAGGCACGACCGCACGAGGCAGUAGUAGACACCUAGACGGCUUCAUCACUCACAAAUAAAACAAGAAUCUGACUGAUAACGUGAGGUCAGGGAUGCACUACAUAAUUUUUUUAAAAGCUUUUAAUGAGAUUAUGACACGUGGUGGUAUUUAAAAGAUUCUACGGCUAAGAUGUCCUCAUUAAUAAGUUUUCUUAACUGGCCCUUAAAUACAGGACAUCUUUUGAACAUUCCAAAAUCGCAGAAUCUUAACUCCAAAACUCCAAACUUAAGCCCCUUCUUCAUCACCGACAACUCAAAAAUUUUGUAACCAAAUAAUAAUAAUAAUAAUAAUAAUAAUAACUCAUCCUUUCAUACACCUUAAUAAAGUAUCUAACAAGUAGGAAAUUAUUGAACCACAAAAAAAAAAUGCUAGCAUGUAAAGAUUUUGAAAAAGGAAAAAUCACCGGAUCAGUCAAGUGUUUUCCUUAUUAAUUUUUGGGGUUAUUUUCAUCUUUUCUGAAUCUACUAAUUCGAUAUUUUGAACAACUACUGAAAUUAAAAAAAAAAAAGAUUAUUGAUUUCUAACUAUCUAAUGAAUAAAAAAUAAAAUGAUUCAACUAGUUUUAAAAAUAUAAGAAAGUAUAGUACUAGUGAAAAAUAAUAAUACGCAAAGCUGUCACGUUAGAUUUUGAAGUAAUUUUGUAAUUUUAGAUUAAUCUUAGCCACAUAUUGAAUUUUUAAGGUAAUACUUGAUUUUGUAGUUGAGUCUAAAACUAAGGUGUUUGAUAAAUAUUUAUUAUUGUGAUUUGAAAGUUAAAUUGAUUUCAUCUUAUACUUAUACGACGAAAAAUCUAUAACAUCUUUAUUAUUUUUGUUAAAAAUAUUAUAAUUUGAAAAUCAUAUUUAUUGUUGUUGUCAACUUUUAUUUGACAACUAAAUGUCGGUGCCAAAUCUUGUUUCCAGAGUGAAUGGUGAAGCUUGAACUAUAAACUCGACUAUAAAUAGGACCGCAAAUCCCAGGCAAAAUCACCAUGGAUUCUACUUCUUUCAGCCCACCAAUUUUUGAGCUCUUAUCUCUGCUAAUUGUCUAUUGUUUUUGGAGAAUCAUAGCAAAAUCUAUAAACAAAAGAGAGAAAAAUACUGCCCCCGAGCCAUCUGGGGCAUGGCCACUCAUCGGCCAUUUGCCUCUGCUAAAUGGCCAAGAACCAAUUUGCAAAAUACUUGGAGCAUUGGCCGAUAAAUAUGGGCCCAUCUAUUCUCUUAGACUUGGCAAGCAUCCCAUAUUGAUUGUGAGCAGUUGGGAAAUUGUGAAGGAUUGCUUCACUACCAAUGACAGAAUUCUGGCUACUAGGGCAAAAAUUGUAGCAGGCAAGUUGAUGGGUUAUGACAACGCCAUUUUUGCACUUGCUCCCUACGGUCCGUACUGGCGUGAUAUUCGCAAAAUAGCCACCACAGAGCUUCUCUCAAGUCACCGGCUUGAAUUGCUGAAGCACGUUCGCUACUCAGAAGUUGACACUUUCAUCAAAGAUUUGUACUCACUUUGCUCAGAAAACGCAUUCAAUCCUGCGAAGGUGGUGAUCAGCAAGUUAAUCGAGCAGUUGACUUUCAAUAUAAGCCUGAAACUGAUAGCUGGGAAGCGAUUUUCAGCUAAAGAUUAUGAGGAACAAGGCAGCGAGGCUUGGCGUAUCAAUAGAGCAAUAAAAGAAGCAACGCACCUAUUCGGGGUUUUCAUCUUGGGAGAUGCCAUACCAUGGCUUGAAUGGAUUGACUUUCAGGGUCAUGUGGGAUCUAUGAAGAGUACUGCUAAGGAAAUUGACGAUGUGAUCGGCAACUGGCUUAAAGAACGUCUUCAAAAUAAAUUACAGGGCGAAGGCCAUAAUGGUAAAGGUGACCUCAUAGACGUGUUGCUUUCAAAACUGCAAGAAGAUGCUGUGAUGGGCGGACAUACACGUGAUACUGUCGUCAAAGCAACAGCUCUAGUAAGUUUGACUUAAUAAUUUUCUCUGCUUGUCAGCAACAAUAACUGAAUCCGUAUACAUAUUUGCAGAUUUUAAUCCUUACAGGCUCAGAAAGCACGUAUCUUGGAAUAAUUUGGACAAUGUCCCUGUUGUUGAACCACCCGAAAGAGCUGAAGAAGGCACAGGAAGAGUUGGACGUCCAUGUUGGAAGAGAUAGAUGGGUAAACGAGUCAGAUAUGAAGAAACUAAAAUACCUUCGAGCCAUUGUCAAAGAAACUCUACGGAUUUACCCACCGGGUCCUGUAACAGGAAUUCGGGAAGCCAUGGAAGAUUGUGAAAUUGGUGGUUAUCAUGUCCCGAAAGGCACGCGUUUGAUCGUGAACAUAUGGAAGCUGCACAGAGACCCUCGGAUGUGGGAAAAUCCGUGCGAGUUCAGACCAGAAAGGUUUCUGACAACUCAUGCUGAUGUUGAUGUCAACACUCAACAUUUUGAGUAUGUUCCGUUCAGCUUCGGAAGAAGAUCGUGCCCUGGAAUGACAUCUGGCUUACAAAUUGUUCAAUUAACGCUUGCUCGGAUUCUUCAGGGGUUUGAUUUGGCAACCGUGGGGGGCACACCUGUUGAUAUGCAGAUUGGUUUGGGCCUUGCCUUGCCCAAAUCGAACCCUCUUGAAGUUAUCAUAAAACCUCGCCUCGCUGAGGAUCUUUUUCGAUGCAUUUGAAGAUUUUAUCAUUUUAAACGAUCAUUUACGUGUAUUAUCAGAAAGAACUAAUGUGAAGGCGACUAAUGCGCAAUAACAUUUUUUCUAAGUGAAGGAUCUUUUUCGCUAAGAACUAAAUGAUAAUACACGUAAUUCAACAGACACGUAAUCAAAGGUCAUUUGUAGAAAGCUACAAAAGACCCAUAUCUAUAUUAAUUAUGAUUUAUCCUAAUUUAAAUAGAAAAGUUUAUUUUAAUAAGAUAUAUAUUUAGAUUAGAGGAAUACAACUCAAAUAAGCUAUGCCUAAUUAAUGAAACUCUAAAUAGAAAACCUAAUUAAAGUAGAAUACAAAUUAAUUAAGUCAUUCCUAAAUAUUAUAAAUUUCAAUCUAAUUAGAAUUUCUUCAAUUUGCUCGUCACAUUUGGUCUCUUUUUUUUUUUUUUUUUUCUAUACAUAUGGUGAAAAAUGGUAACUGUCCAUUAAUUAAUAACAUUUUUUUUUUUUUAAUAAAUCUCGUUUGAAGUAGGGGGUGGGCACCACCACCCCAUGAAACCAACGUAACCCAUUAAUUAAUAACAUUUUCUAAUAGAGUUGGACUAUUGACAUCCCUCCAAAAUCCUUUUAAAACCCCUUUCCAUUACAAUUAUAUUUAAGAAUAAAUACUCUAUUUUAUCUCACUUCAAACUUUUGUAUUUUCUCUACUAUCAAACUCGCACAUGUAAUUUUUUUUUCUCAAAUUCUCUAUAAUUUUUUCUUCAAUUACUAAGACAAUCUAUUGGUAAUAAACAAAAUACAUUCUGACAAAAUUAUCUGCCUUUUUUUAAGGCUCAUAAUAAAACUUUUUACAUCAUAAUUUUAUAGAUAUUUUAUUUAAUUAAUUGAUUUUUAUCAAGAAAUUUAUCACCCAUAAACGUUUGUUUGUGAGGAGCGAGAAAAUAAUAGAAAAUUAAAAGAUUCACAAAUUAAAUGUGUUUAUUUAGAAUAAGGGUAUUUUUGGCAUUAAUUUUAGCAUUAUUGAAAAAUGGGUUUCAUAAGAAUUUUGGAGGGGUGCCAAUAGUCCAACUCUUUUUAAUAAAUUCCAUGAUCACAAAUUAAAGACAACCACACACGGCCAAAACUCAUGUCGCUCCACCUAGAGCUGGCAAAAUUUGACACGACCUGAUUAACCAACAUGAGCACGACACGAAUAAACAUGUAUGAGUUGUCAAAUUUAACAGAUUAUUAAAUGGGUUGGAUCUUGGUUGAUACGAUUUUUUUCUGUAUUGGGUUAGGGUUAAAAUUUUUGAUCUAUUUUUUAUUCUUGAUCAAUGACAAUAUUAUAUUUUUUUAUUUAAAAUUAAUUUAUAUGUUUUUAUCAUCAAAACUCAAAUAUUGGAUGUGAUUAUCUAUUUUUUUUAAGGAUGAACAUAUAUACAAUAUUUAAUUUAUAAAAUUUUAUUUAGAUUUAGAACUCUAAUAGUAUAAAUAUGUAAAAUGUUAGUAGACAUGUAUAUUUUAUAAUAUUGAUAUAUCAUAUUAUUUACAUAUAUAUAAUUAAAACUUCAAUAGUAUAAAAUGUGUAAUAUUUUGGUACAUAUGUAUAAUUUAUAAUAUCAAUAAAUUUUUGUGUGCCCAAUAACUCUCUUAAUAUUUAUAUGUUUAAUAUUAAACAUAUAAAUAUUAAGAGAGUUAUUGGGUAACUUAUUUAUUUUCUAUACCGAAUUUGAAUCUUAAUAUUUUGACACGAUUAUUAAAUAAGUCAUAUUUGACAUGAUUAUUAAAUUUAAUACGAUACAAAACUGAUACGACACAAACAUGACUCGAUCAUCCAAUUUAACAGCCGGGGCUUCACCAGCCACUACCAGAAGAUCCAUACUUGAAAUGAUCCUUCAAUUUCAUCAAUUUUCAGUUCGCAGGAUAGAUCCAUGGCCCCACCAAAAUGUCGCCUGCCACAUGUUCACAAUCAUAGCCAUUUCUCACUUUCAUACUCGAUAGUGAUACGGGUUUUAACUUGGUCUGUAUCUAUUUAAUAGUUUUGAGUAAUUACACCGUACGACCUUUGGCUUUAAAGUGUAAACAAAACCAGCAUCAAAAUAUAAUUGCAAAAAAAUCAAUGUUAUUUUUGAAAAUUUUAUAUUAGAAUAAAUCAAUUAAAUCUCUCUCUUUAUUUUCUUUUCUUUUCAAUUUAAGGUCUAUUGAUGAUUGAAUUUGAUCACUAAAAUUGUUUUAAUAUAAAAAUAAGGUUAGUUGAACUCACUUAAAUACUUAAUAUACUCACUUUUUAAUAAAAAAAAAUUAUUACUAAAUUACUUGUUGUGUAAUUUACUCUUAAGUACAACACAGUAAAGUUAAAUAAAAUAUUUUCAUCUUGCAUCCAUUAUAUAGAUAUAAUUAUCAUAAUACAUUUUUUCCAUCCAACAUUAAUUAUCGACACUUUUUUUCCCAUGCGAAUGGACCUUGAUUACGUGUCUUUUUUGCUAAGAACUAAACAAUCAUUAAAUGUUCAUUUACAUAAUUCAAUUUCUCAAAAGGUUAUUGCUAUUCAUGUAAAUGAUCGUUUAAAAUGAUAAUACACGACUAAUGCGACUAAUGUGCACAUUAGUGGGUUAUCACAAACAAACUCAAUUUUUUUUCUAAGUGAAGGCCACUAAUGUGCAAUUAUAACUCUUGAAGUAUUUUUCAAUUUUGAUUUUCCAUGCCAGCUGAGUUUGUCUUAUUUAGCUAUUGUAUUUGAGUUUUUUUUUUUUUCUUUUUUUUGGGUUAUCUUAGUUUGUUUGCCUUAUUUAAUUAAUUUCAAAAUAGCCUACUAUAAAUGGAAUUGAAUUUUCAAACCUUAUAUAAGAUGGUAAUUCAGUUUUUUUUUUUUUUUUUGAAUUUUACUUUUUAAGAGUAGUGCUAUUUUGAACAAAGAGCAUAUUAAGUGAUCACAGUUUAGUUUAUACAGUAGGAAAGAAAUAACCGAAGGAAGAAAAAGCAAGAAAAAUCUUAAAGAGUAUUCCAGUUUAGUAGUCACCCACUCUUUAUUUGUUAACUUUUAUUUUUAAUAGAAAUAAUGUUGAUCUAAUUUCAACAAAUUCAGUAAACUCCUAGAAGUGCAAUAAUUAUGAGAUUUAGCUCGUUAAACAUGUUAAAACAGCAUAACAUCACAUUUUAUUCUAUUUUCUCUACUCUGCCGAACCAUGAGAUAAUCUAUUCAUUGCAAGUAGACCAACAAACCUUCAAGACCACAAAUUCCGAAGCAUAAUAAAAUUAAUUUGGCCACAAAAAAAUAAAAUCCUCUAACCUAAACCAACGAAGUAUGGACAUACAGCAGAUCUUUCAACAGCUGCCUUGGAAGAAAACAAAUCGUUUUUUACCACAGAAAUGAUUUCAUCUGCGCAACAGCCAUAGCCUAAGAUUUUUUUUUGAAAAAUUAUGGACCGGUCACUUAUUUUUUUUAAAUUUUUUUUUACUGGAAUCUAUAUUAAGUUAUAUAUAUUUUUACUUAUCCACUUCUAUUUGGAGAUCGUUUUGAAAACUAACGGAAUAUUGUAUAAAUAAUUUUUUUACUCUUAAAUAUAAAAGAUAAAUUAUCUACCGACCACUUUUUUUUUUCGUAUUUUUUCAAAAAUGCACUAUUCUUAAUUUUUUUUUUUUACUAAACUCCACUUGAAGUUAUAUUGUUUUGCACCUAUCCACUACUGUAUCAUUGUGAAAUGAUAAUUUUACCCUUAUGAUGUCAGUAAAUUUCUAACGGUGUUAUAACGAGAGUGGACCAAUGAAAAAAAUAUUAACUUUAGGUGGAGCACUGUAAAAAAAAAAAUUAUGUAUUUUUAAAAAACGGUAAAAAAAACAAGUGAACAGUGAAUAAUUUCCCUAUUUUUUUUAAGCAAUCACUAUCUUAGAGCUGCUUUAAAAUAUAACACAAAUCACAACCAUACACAUGUAAAGUGAUAAAUAAUAAAAAAUAAAUUAUAAAUUUAAUCACGUGGAUUUUAAUGCGUUUUCUAUCUUAGAGCAGUUUCAACGUAACCAAAUUCUUUUUUUUUAAUAUGCUUCACGAAAUCUCCACCUCACAAAUAAAAUAAGGAAAUAUGUAAAGUAUUAUUUGACUGACGCCUACCUAAUAACUCAAAAUCUAUUAUAAAUAGUAGUGCAAGUCAUAUGUAGCUUCGCCACAACACUCUCCCUAAACCACCAUGGAUUUUAUUUCUUUCAAGCUACCAAUUUUGGAGCUCUUAGCUUUGCUGAUUCUUUAUUUCUUAUGGGGAAUCGUAGCAAAAUCCAAAAACAAAAGCAAGAAAAAUACAGCCCCCGAACCAUUUGGGGCAUGGCCACUCAUCGGCCAUUUGCCUCUUCUGAUUGCCGAAGAACCUGUUUGCAAAAUACUCGGAGCCAUUGCUGACAAAUAUGGCCCCAUCUACUCCCUCAGGCUCGGCAAGCAUCCAACGUUGAUUGUGAGCAGUUGGGAAAUUGUGAAGGAUUGCUUCACUACCAAUGACAGAGUUUUGGCCACAAGGCCAAGUAUAGCAGCAGGCAAGUACUUGGGUUACGACAACGCCGUUUUUGCGCUUGCUCCCUACGGCCGGUACUGGCGUGAUAUUCGCAAAAUAGCCACCACAGAUCUGCUCUCCAGUCACCGGCUUGAAUUGCUAAAGCACGUUCGCUACUCAGAAGUUGACACUUUCAUCAAAGACUUGUACUCACGUUGCUCAGAAAACGCAUUCAAUCCUGCGAAGGUGGUGAUCAGCAAGUUAAUAGAACAACUGACUUUCAAUAUAAGCCUACGACUGAUAGCCGGAAAGAGAUUUUCAGCUAGAGAAUUUGGUGAACAAGGCAGCGAGGGAUGGCGUAUCAAUAGAGCCAUAAAAGAAGCUACGUAUCUGACAGGGGUUUUUGUUUUGGGAGAUGCCAUACCGUGGCUUGAAUGGAUUGAUUUUCAGGGUCACAUAGGCUCUAUGCGGAGGACUGCAAAGAAAAUUGACGACGUGAUCGGCAACUGGCUUGAAGAACAUGCCCAGAGAAAAUUACAGGGUGAAGGUGACUUCAUGGACGUGUUGCUAUCGAAAAUUGAAGACAAUACUGUGAUGAGUGGUCAUACAAGGGAUACUGUCAUCAAGGCAACAGCUCUUGUAAGUUUGAUUGUAUAAUUUUCUGUUUUCUAUAAUGAUAAUUAUUCAAUGGUAAACAAUUGAGACGGAAACUCAUACAACUAAUCAAAAUUAUUCUGUAGAUUCUAAUAUUUACAGGCUCAGAAAGCACAUAUCUCGGAAUAAUUUGGACACUGUCUUUGUUACUCAAUCACCCGAAAGAGCUAAAGAAGGCACAGGAAGAGUUGGACGUCCAUGUUGGAAGAGAUAGAUGGGUAAACGAGUCAGAUAUGAAGAACCUAAAAUACCUUCGAGCCAUUGUCAAAGAAACUCUGCGGAUUUACCCACCGGGUCCUGUAACAGGAAUUCGGGAAGCCAUGGAAGAUUGUGAAAUUGGUGGCUAUCAUGUCCCGAAAGGCACGCGUUUGAUCGUGAACGUAUGGAAGCUGCACAGAGACCCUCGGAUGUGGGAAAAUCCGUGCGAGUUCAGACCAGAAAGGUUUCUGACAACUCAUGCUGAUGUUGAUGUCAACACUCAACAUUUUGAGUAUAUUCCGUUCAGCUUCGGAAGAAGAUCGUGCCCUGGAAUGACAUCUGGCUUGCAGAUUGUUCAAUUAACGCUUGCUCGGAUUCUUCAGGGGUUUGAUUUGGCAACCGUGGGGGGUAUACCCGUUGACAUGAAGGAAGGCUUGGGCAUUGCCUUGCCUAAACUGAACCCUGUUGAAGUUGUCAUCAAACCGCGCCUUUCUGAUGAUCUUUAUCAACGCCUCUGAAGUUUUUUUAUGUUUGAAAAUGUAUGAAGCUGCUUGACUAAUGUCAAGUUGUGCCCUGAGUGCCUGGAGUUUGUGACGGAUGUACGUAUCUCAGUCUAAAGACAAUAAAAUAUAAUAAAACUUUUUAAAAAUAUAUAUAUAAUAUGGACUCGAUCCAUGUGAAAGAAUGGAAAUCCGAUUCAUAUGUGAUUUAUGUUCAAUAGGUGGAAACGAUUAAGAAUUCCCUUCCCCCCCCGCCAUUCUUUUGGAUAGCAUACUAAAUGACUUUAUGUCUAUGAAUCAGUUUUUUUUUUCGGUGUAUUAAACUAUCUGCUAUCCCAACUAAUCUAAAUUCGAGUUAGGUAGGAUCACUAAGGAAGCAAAGCUGUAUCCCAUACUAAUCUAGAUUCGAGCCGGGAACGCAGCUGCUUUUCUAAGUCUAAUACUGAAGACCUUAGUUAAGAUAUAACAGUCUCAUACCAAAUGAUCUACGCGCUUGUUAGUUAUGAAUCAAUUACUUUAUUAUAAGAAGUUAGAUAGAAAAAAGUUCAGACUAAAUAAGAAAUAAUAUAAUUAAUUAAUAUAAAUAUAUAUAUUAUGAUAUAUGUAAUUAAAUUUUAUAUAACUAUUAAUUACAUGAUUGCUCUUCAAAAUAAAUGUAUAUAUAUUAUAAUAAUAAAUGUAUAAAUGUAUAUAUAUAUUAUAUAUAUUAUAAUAGUAUUUGCAUUAAUGUAUGACUACCAUCUCAAAAUAUUCAAAAAUUUCUCAAAGUUCUACUAUUGUGUGGCUGCAACGCUUGUUGACUUGUUGACUACUUGUUUUAAUGAAAUUUCUAAUUGCUUGAAAUAAAGGAGGAUCCAGAUACAUUACAACAACCGCAAAGGUACCAUAACUUUGUCCUCUUCGGAUCAAACGCUUUGCAACAUAGUUUUUUUUACAAGAAAUCAUGUUGUGAUCUCACGAGGUCUCGUGUCGUUUUCAAGAGGACUUGUCAAUGUGAACCAAAGUCAGCCGUCAAGAAUGAAAUCACACAAAAUGUCAAAACAGACGAUGACUUUAAGGCCACUGGGACAGUGUAACUUUUCAAAACAUGUGAACCACGCAACGGUAGUAUGGUUAACUUUCGUCCGCAUGAUAGAAACUAGGGCUGGCACAAUACGGUUCGGUUCGGUUCGGUUCGGUUUAGAAAAAAAUUGAACCGAAUUGAAACCAACCGGUUCUCCCAAAUCGGAAUCGAAAGCAACCCGAAAUUCAGAACCAAACCGAAUCGAACCGAAUCGAACCGAACCGAAAAUUUUCGGCUCGAUUCGGUUUGGUUCUGAAUUUCGGUUCGGUUCAGAUUAUUUCGGUUCUUUUCGGUUUCAACUCUAUAAUUUUCUCACGUAAGAAACUCCCACAGUGUUAACAUUACAUUCAAUAUAAUAAAAUUCAGCAAAAUAAUAAUGCCCCAACACAUUAUAAAUCGACAAAAACAAAAAAUAAUAACAAACCAAAAAUCUCAUGGGUUUCAAAAUCACCAUUUUCCCACAACCAAACAAGGCCUGCACACGAGAUUUCCGUAUCAACAUUUUUAGUAACCAAACAAGGCCAUCAAAAUCCCCAUUUUUCCAACCAAACGAGGCCAACACAUGGGUGUCAAAGCUAGCAAUCGGCAACAACAUCAAAUACAAUAAACCAAAAGCUAGCAACCCAAAAAAUGCGGAAAAAAAUCAAAAUUUACUUAGACAAAGAAAUAGAUCUAGAUCUAUAACAUUUGUUGUGAGAGAAACAAGAAGAAACUAAGAAUCCUUGUGUGGUGGCCGACGGCCUGCGAUGAUUGCGACUGAAGGACGGCUGUUGUGGGGUUGUGACGAACGGCCGGUGGCUGAUAGGCGGCUGUACUAAGGGUUGACGAUGGUUGUGUGGUGCGAGAGGAGCGGCUGCCAACUGCAUGUAUGGUGUUAGAGAAGAGCGGUUGCCGAUGGUAGAAAUAAAAUGUGCCGAUUAGAGUGUGAGAGUGAGGGAAGGUGUGCUGCCGCCGUGUUUGAGAGAUGAGAGUGUGAGAUUUAGGUUUUUUCCGUUCACUUUACCUAUAUAUAUAUCAAUAUUAAAAUAUUUUUUAUUUUUAAGUGAAAGAACCGAAUGGUUUUUCCGUUCGGUUCGGUUUUGAGCCGAACCGAAUAGAAACCAAUCGGUUCUUCAAUUUUCAAACCAUUCGGGUUUUUUAUUUAAAACCGAACCGAACCGAACCGAAUUGAAAAUAUCGGUUCGAUUCGGUUCGGUUCGAUGAAAACCGAACCAAAUGGCCACCCCUAAUAGAAACCAAAAGUACAGUAAAAUUUCUCUCCAGCAAUAUUUUACAUAAGUAAAAUCUUUGAUUAGUCAUAAAAAAAAUUGUAGUUUUAAUUUGGGCUAAUUACAAAUAAAAAUAAAUUCUACAUUAUAAUAAGUUAUAAAAAAUUAUAUUUUAAAUAACUUGUCUCCACAUAAUAAUAAUAAUAAUUUAUAUAUUAUAAAAAUACAUGUGCUACAUUAAAAAUUUAAUAUAGAAUAAAAUAUUUUUCUAAAGUUUUUUUGAGAUAAUGAUUUAUUUUUUAAAAUUGUUACCACAUCUUCGAACGUGCAGGUACAUAAUAAAUUGUUAAUAUGGACACCUUUUUAUUAAAGUCAGUCAAAAUAUUUCUAACUUUUCAAGUAUGUUCAGAGAUUCAUGGAAUUGACAUGUUCUAUUAAUUAGUUAUUAAUGCAUUCUUAUUUAUAUUACUUGAAUUAAGGAUAACCAAGUCCAAGUAAUAAACCUAUACUAAGUUAUAACCUCCUUGUAGUGAUAAAAUUAAUUGGUCCCAAUAAUAUAGUUAUAGAGAGCUUUAGAUAUAUAAAUGAACAUUGGAGCUUGAUUGUCUAAGAUGUGAGUGCCUAGCUCUCAUUUAGUACUCAAUAUCGUUAUUAAAGAGUAGUUUUAGAUAUAUAUUUUAAAAUUUUAUUUUGAAUUAUAUAACAUUUAUCAAAUAGAUGGUAAGAUAAUAUCACUAAUUUAAUAAAAAAAUAAAAUCAUUAAGUCUAAGGAGAUAAUUAUUAUUACCAAUUAUGUUGGAAUAAUAAAAUAAAAAUGAAAUUAAUGAUAUUAAAAUAUUUAUUUUUAGUUAUCAAUUAUUAUAUAUACACAAUAAAAAUAUUUUAUAUACAUAUUUAUGAAUGUGCAAAUAGAUUGUAUUCAACAAUAUAUUUCUUUUAGUCAUUUAUAUUAUUACAUUAGUUUAACAGUAAAAUUUACUAAAUAUAUACAACUUCUUUUAAAAUUCACUGAAUUUUAAAAAUAAUUUUAUCAAAUAUUUAACUGAUUAUCUUCACAUGUGAUUAUUUUUACAGUACCGUAAAUAACAAUUAUAUUGAAAAUUGCAGUAUUAUCAAACUAGGGAGAUUGCUAAUUUCUCCCCUACAGUAAUCAACAUAUACAAUUUCUCCUCCUGAUGUUUUUAUAAUGACCAAAAACCUCCAUGAUAGUAUAAAUUUAUAAUAUUACCCUUAUUUUCAAUUAUUCUUUUAUUUAUAUUUAUUAUAAAUUAAAUAAAUCACAUGAAUAGAAACUAAAUAAAAAAUUAAGUAUUAAAAAUAAGAAAUAUAUGUUUUGAUAUGAGAAACUAAACUAGUGAAAAAAUAUCAAGUGCCUAAUAAAUAUCACAUUACAUAUAUCACCGUUUAAUUUAAGAUCACGUCAUAUUAAUUGAGAUAAAAUUUUAAAAUACGUAGUAUAAUCCUAAGGCAUUUAUAUUUGAUCGUCCAUCACACCCGAACGAAAGAAAGACAAAAUUACUAUGAAAACUACACUUUUUUUUUUUUUUGUUUGUUCAAAAAACAACCAAAAGGACGUGAUUUCGUAACAUGUGAUACACAACGAUUAUCAAUUUUCAUGAAAUAAAUUCUAAAACGUUACAUCUAAUUAAUGCCCCGUCAGGCAGAUGGAAGUUUUAUUUCAUAGAUGACCCACUCAACGACCCCAAUGUUGACCAUCAAUGUUAUACAAUCUCUACAGCCAGUGAUAAUUAAUUUAUCCAUAUGACCGUUGAUUAGAGAUCUAACGGCUAACAUUGAAAGCACGGCCAUGCAGGCCAACAUCAGCUCUAACAAGAAGAAAAACAAAGAAAAGUCAUCGAAAAGUCAACAGCCCACAUAUUCAAAUUAAAAAACAGUAAAUGUGCCAAUCGAACAUUACCAAACGGGGAAAGCACCUACUUCGGGAUCAUAUCUACUGUGUCCCAAGAAAUUAAACACGUGGCAAACUAUUAUUGGUACCGAACAUGGAAGCAAAUUAAACGCCACUUCACCAACUGCAUGCACCCUUCGUGUCUCCACGAAACGGCCCUUCUGUCGUCGCCAUCUUCAUCAAAACGCAUGUCACAAAAUAAAUAUUUAAUUACAUAUUUAUUUUUUUUUUAAAAAAAAAUUUAUGGUUAUCCCAAUAUCAUCAGUUUUUCUCUCGUUAGAAGAAGAAAAAAGGGAGAGGAAAAUGGGGACGAGGAGGGGGAAAUCGCCUGUGAAUGCGGUGCUAAUAUGGCUGAUGAGGCAGCCAAUGAAGGUCAAGAGCUGCCUUGCUGUGGUUUUUACCGUGUGCUCUUUGGUGGCCAUGAAGCUUUUUGUUAAAAAUCAUGAUUAUUUCUUCGUUGCAUCUGAAGCCAUUCAUGCUGCUGGGAUCAUGGUCUUGAUUUACAAGCUCACCACCAAGAAUACCUGUUCUGGUAUUAUCAUAUACAUCAACAUUUUCCCCUUUAAAUUCUUUUUUUCUUUUUUUGCUUUUAUGUUUAUAAUUAUUUAGAAUUUUGAUUUUUUUUUCUCUCGAAAUUGAUUGCUUUUCUUGCUUCAGUUAUACUUUUUAGCAAAACACAUGUGCCCAUGUUUCGCAUCUGGGGUUGCCCGAGUUUGAAUAUAUAAUAAAUAACAGGGGCUAAUGUUUGAUGGUUAUUGGGUCCCAUCGAUGCAAACCUUUGUAAAUUUUUUUUUUUUUUUUUUUUUGAAUACGAACCAACGAACAAAACCGAACUGUGCACACACUGAAAAAUGUACAAUUUUAUGAAGAAAAUAUGUAAAAAUAAAAUAGAUGCAUUAGUCAAAAUGAAAUUUAGUUUCAGAUUGCUGAAUUAGGGUUUUAAGAAUAUUUAAUUGUUGUCUCGUAUGUAGAUGACUGGAUUUUGGGGCUAAUGAGAGUUUAGAUUAGGAACUCAAGUCCAUGAGCAUAUUCUUGGUAAAGGCAACAUUUUUACAUUCAAUUUUCAUUGAAACUAAAUGAUUACAUAGACCUGUUACUCUGUUAGGCUCCUUUACAUAAUAUGACUGGUAGGAUCCUCUGCAUUGGCACGAAGCUUUUUGCUUGAAGAGGUUCAAAUAGUUCAACACAUUAACCCAAAAAAAAAAAAAAAACAGUUCUUAGUUCUUCCUUGGUAGUAUGUAUAAGACUAAUAGAGCAAUUGCACAGAUCCAUAGUUUUGAUUUUUACCGGUCAUGGAUCAUUUGAAGUGAAAUCCCAUAAUCAAUUUCUUUCAAUCCUAAUUUCAUUUAUGACAAGUAGAAUCAUAAUUUUGAUGAUGCAGUAAUAGGAGAUAAUACCUUUCGCAUUAUUAAAGUUUCAAUUGGCAAUAUCACAAUGUCAAUAUGGGCUUUUCAAUUAUCAGUUUUCUUUGUCUUUUUGAUCAGGUCUUUCGCUGAAGACUCAAGAACUCACAGCUAUGUUCCUAGCUCUGAGAUUGGUCUGCAGCAUAAUUAUGGAGGCUGAUAUUCACACCGUGCUAGAUUUUGCAACCCUUGCGUCCACUGCUUGGGUUAUAUAUAUGAUACGGUUCAAGUUGAAGUCAACCUACAUCAAGGAGCUAGAUAACUUUCCUAUAUACUACAUAGUAUGUGCAUUGUUUUAUUGUCAUAUCAUGAUCCAUUUAUCUAAAUUUUGUUUGAAAACUGUUCAAAGAAUUUCAUUAGGAAAAAAGUGUCAAAUAAUAUGUCUUUUUCACUAAGCUUUGUGUGACUAUGUUCCAGAUGUGAAUCCAUAAGUUGACUGUGUGUGAA